rnacentral:lncRNA from 1 species
AUGUGUGGGGAGUCACGACUUUGGGAAAAAAAGAGAGAAAACGCGUUUAUUUGGGGAGGGGGGAGGCCCCGCUAUGGGGCAGAAAUCCCUGCUAUGGGGCAGGGAUUGCCCUCUAUGGGGCAGAGACCGCGCUGUGGGGCACAAAACCCCUCGCUGUGGGGCAGAGACCGCGCUGUGGGGCACGGACUCCCACCCCCGGCCCGCACUUGUGGGGCGCAGGGACCCACAGGUUGGGGGUUUUUGACGCCUGGGGGAGGGGGCACCCCACAUCCUGCCCCACAUCUGUGGGUCCGAGGGCCGGGACCCCGGGAGGUUCCUUCUGUGGGUCUGGGGCACUGGGGUCCCCAAAUGUGUGGGUCCCGGACCCCUGACUCCCCCCACGUGUGGGUCAGAGACAUCUGGGGCCGCAAAUAUAUGGGUCCCAGCCUCCUGAACCCCCACAUCUGUGGGUCUGGGACCCCUGACUUGCCCCACAGGUGGGUCCCAGACACCAGAUCUGUGGGUCUGGGACACCCAACUUCUUAG